rnacentral:rRNA from 1 species
ACUCCUACGGGAGGCAGCAGUAGGGAAUUUUCCGCAAUGGACGAAAGUCUGACGGAGCAAUGCCGCGUGAGUGAUGAAGGUUUUCGAAUCGUAAAGCUCUGUUGUAAGGGAAGAAUAGCAAAGAAUAGGAAAUAUUCUUGNCUGACGGUACCUUACCAGAAAGCCACGGCUAACUACGUGCCAGCAGCCGCGGUAAUACGUAGGUGGCAAGCGUUAUCCGGAAUUAUUGGGCGUAAAAGCGCAUGUAGGCGGCUUUUUAAGUCUGAUGUGAAAAGCCCAGU